UACAGAGGGUGCGAGCGUUAAUCGGAAUUACUGGGCGUAAAGCGUGCGCAGACGGUCACGUAAGUCGGGUGUGAAAGCCCCGGGCUCAACCUGGGAAUUGCAUUCGAGACUGCGUGGCUAGGGUGCGGAAGAGGGAAGCGGAAUUUCCGGUGUAGCGGUGAAAUGCGUAGAGAUCUGGAGGAACACCGAUGGCGAAGGCAGCCUUCUGGGCCAACACUGACGCUCAUGCACGAAAGCGUGGGGAGCAAACAGG
rnacentral:rRNA from 1 species